ACAAGUGGGCCUGAACUAUUGGAUUAUUUGGCAUCUCAAUUCCUGGUAUAUAAGACAUAAGAGUGAUGGCACGAAAGUUGGGCCAACAAAGCGGGAGAAGGGUACCGUGAAGUCAGCGAAAAGUGCCACCAUGUCUCCUGUAAGAAAUUCUGGGCGGGUUUUGCUGGAAUUUAGUCUAUUUGGGCAGCCCAAUAACUAUUUCAGAAAUUCCUAAUAAAUCCUAGAGGCCCACUUAGCCCAUUUAUGCAAGGCAAGAGAUACUACUAAAAGUUUAGUCCCACAUUGCUAGUUUAGAGGGGGUUGGACCUCUUUAUAAGGGAGGCUCCUUCCCCACUUGUAUGAGCAUGAGAACAAGAGGGACAUCCAUGUGCGCUCCUCCUCCGCCGCCCGUCCGUCGCGCCGCGGGUCUCUUCACGUGCUGCCUGUUCACUUCUUGGCUCUAGUUUCUGCCCUACGUAUGAUAGGUUCUAUGUCGUAUAAGUAACUUCAUCUAGUGUCUGUUCUAGAUGUGUUUACCUCAAGUUUUUAUAUGCAAACGAUGUUUACCUUCUCUCUGUCAGAUUGCAUGACUUGCUUUAUAUUUGCUAUUUUAAUCAUGCUUUAUCUAGUAUUUCUGUUAAUAAAAUCAUUCGAUAAAUUGCUCAUUUUUCCAACAGGUUUGACCAGUUCAGUAGGAAACGUGUCAAGAACUCAAGAUUUAUUAUAAUAAAAUCAUUCGAUAAAUUGCUCAUUUUUCCAACAGGUUUGACCAGUUCAGUAGGAAACGUGUCAAGAACUCAAGAUUUAUUAUAUUUCAUUUGGGAUCUUAUUUUUGUUAGCCAAACUUGAGGCAUAUCAUCUUGUUAUAAAAAAAUGGAAGAGAACAACUUCCCAAGUAUUUGAUCUCUGGAUUCAAAGAUGAACCAAUUAUUACAUU
rnacentral:lncRNA from 1 species